UGUAAAUGACAUGUUGGUCCCUUGAAAUUAAAAUAACGCAGUUUUAUAUUGGUUCAAAAUCCCAUAAAUAUUGUAAUUUUGUUUGGUGAAUCUUUUUGUAGUAUAGAAGGUAUAAUUAUCUAUAAGUGAUAAGUGAAGUUAAUUAAAAUAGCGAUAAUGACUUGCAACGCCGCUGAUAAAUGGCUUUCUCAAGCACCCGUUGAAUAAAUGAACUCCAAACGAAGCAAACUACUAAUAUGAAAACAGUGGCAUCGGAACGAGAGUUUUCAUGCAAAGAAAAAACAUUUCGUAUCGAAAUAAUCGGCUAAAGUGACUCGAAACUAAAAGAAAAUCGUCGCGCGAUUGUGAAGUUCCAUCCUACAAAACGUACAGUGAAAUGCAUGAAGUUCAAUUUCGAGAUUUGCGGAUGUUUCCGCAGCUUCCAGCCUCACAUACAUUGUCAUCAUACGAAGACAUAAGUACGAAAAAAAGGAACUCUCAACACUCAACAUCCGGUUGCCAGUAUCAUUACCCGGACCCGAAUUUAACCUGCCAAAUAGUGUCCAACGGGAUGAGCUAUACCAACCAAGGCCAAAUGGAGCCUUAUGACAUCACUUCACCAGCAGAAACGAUAUCGCCCCAUCUAUAGACGGCAUGAUCAGGCACACACAUAUUUGCUGUGGCCAGCAAACCAUUCGCCUUUGUUGUCGAUUUACGAACGGAACGAAAACGUGCAAAAAAAAACUCCUCUCGUAUAAAUGUUUCGUGGCACCAAAAACCAACCUAGCUGAAGGCGAAUUUGCCAACUAUGCCCUUAAGAAAAAGAAAAGGGAAAAAAAACAACAAAAAAGCCGAAGCGACGAAACAUAUUUUUCAUACGAAGGAAGGAAAACCCCGAACACGACCACACGUUCUCGCCAACCAUCCAUCGAUUGAAUCUGCAGCAGUGCACUCCACCGUGUAGAUGAACCUCUUUUUUCUCCCUCAUGAUGACGGACAUCGGGAUAAAAUGUAUUCCUGUUUUUCCAGUGAAAGGAUGUGAAGGUUGACACACAGCAUGGUUUAUGCUGCCGAGUGAAAGGAAAUUUGUUUUCAUUCAUUAGCGAAUUUUGCUAAUGCCGAAUACGCACAACGGUGCUGAAAAACGCGGCGAAAAAGCACCCCGGCUAGCGGACGAUGGCCCCAAUUCCCUUUGUGGCUAGCACAUGUUCCGAGUGUUAUUGCAUAUAUGCACCCGUUUCCCUACUGUAUCGCAACAUCCUCAUCCCCCCUCCUCCCAGGCGAAAGGACAACACUGCGCAAUCAUCGUUGAUUGCUGGCGUAUUAUUAUGCUGGCCCAUUUUGUGAACGAGGUUUGAAGUUGCGAAUAAGUUGAACAAAUCGAUAAGCGUAAGGGCAUGGAAAGAGCGUGAAGCAUCAGAACAGGAAAAAAAAAACAUCUGAUGCACUGAUUGGAUGCAGCUCGUUUCGAAUAUUUGUUAAGCAAUAGAGUGUUUUUUUUUUAUUUCGGGAUGAUUUGCAACAGAACGCUUCUUGGCAUUAGCGAUAUAGAUGAGUAGUUGGAUUAGGUGUAUAGAGUGGAAUGGGAGAAAGGAAGGUAAACUGGUUCACAAUGCACAAGCAUCAAAACAACCAACGGAUAACAUGGCGAUGGAAUUGAAUCAAUUUAAUAGCAAACAGUAGGGUAGAAAAGAUGAAUUUGUCCACAGUUUAACCACAAAAGCUCCUACAGAAAACCAAUUGCACGUACGAAUUAAGCAAAAAAUAACGAUCUAAUAUACGUAAACGUAAAAAAACCUUGCGUAAGAAUUAAGCAAAGGUAGAAAUGCAAAUCCCACGAACUCCGAAGUCAUUUAUUAAUACUAUUGAUUAUUGAUGGGAGCUCCGGAGUGGAAUCGUGUAGUUGAUACCGGUGUUGAUACCGGUUUAUACUCCAAUUUUACGGUACAAAUCUCAAGACACAAUAUCCAUCAAUGACACCAAUUAUCUAUACCCAAAGAAAAUCAUAAAACUGAAACUGUGUAUGUUGCAGCGCGAGAUCAGGCAGAACGUGGACAAGCAAUAGACGACUGAGAAGGCAGUAGACUCAACUCUUUCAGGAUAAGAAGCGCAGCUUUUGAAGAGUCAGAUGAGUAACUGAUGCAGCAACUAUCCCAGUGCGGGGAAACUCGUAAGUUCUUCAGGUUGUCGAGAAGGGAGAUAUCCUAUCCGACGAACGAGAGGUGAUCGACAGGAUAAAGUGUUACUUCGAUAGACACCUGAGGAGAGGAGAGCAGUACUACGACAGCCAGGAUGACGAUGACGAAGUUCCCCCGCCAUCCUUGGACGAAGUCAUGAAGAGAGACAGAGAGAGUUACUCUACGGCAGAUCCUGCAGAAAUGCCUAGAGCACCAGAUCCCUACGCACCACCUGUUUAUUGACCUCAAAGCGGCCUACAGCACUAUGUGUAACACCAUGCAGUAGUAAGGACUCCCAGGUGUCGAAUAUUGUGUCGGAAUCGUUCGAAUCGCCGAGAUCUGAGGUAAGAGUUCCGACUCUCUUGGUUGCUGUUUAACAUCGCUCUGGAAUGUGUCAUGCGAGGCGCGUGCUUCGACAUCCGGGGCUCCGAUUCUCUCCAAUUUCUUGGCUUCGUGGAUGACAUCGACAUCAUCGGACGGAUAUCUGUGGCGGUGUGCGAAAAUUAAUUUGAGGAUCGAUGCGACGAAGACAAAGUAUCUGCUUGCCGGAGGCUCUGACGGUGAUAGAGUCCGAUUCAAGGUGGUAGAGGAGUUCAGCUACCUUGGUGCGAUUGCAAUUUUAGACAACAACCUGAGCAACGAAAUCCGAAGGUGCAUUGUUCAGGGAAAUCCUGUCUACUUCGGGCUCCACAAACUGCUGCGAUCCAGAAGACUCCAGCAAAACUGCUACGUCCGAUAGUCCUAUAUGGGUGCGAGUCCUGGACGUCGCCAAUGCACUUACCUGGACUCAGAUGUCCGACUCAGACCUCAGACCUCAGAUCCCACCAGGAAGGUGCUCGUCAGACUCCCGUUCUUGAAGAGACUUAGAGGAGCACUGCGAGCUCGUUGACUGCAUCAGCUGGAGUCGAACCUAUCGGAGAUCGGAUGUAGCCUUAGACCGAGUAUCCAGGAAGCGGAUGGGAGACCUGGCUAUAUCUCCGCGACGUGCUCGACCCUGAGCAGACCAAGAAGAAGGCUCCAGUGAAGCAUGGUCAUGUCAUUAGAAUGACAUAGGACAAACCAUUCCAAAAAUUCCUUAGACGCUAACUUUAGAUGAAAUGAUGACGUUGAUUUAUCCACUAGAAUUUACGAUUACGAUGCUACAUUUACUCCGGAGCCUAGCGAGCCUAAUUUGUUGCGCGAUGGUGAGUUCAUCGUUCAUAAACCACCUAACUGUAGCUCCGAAGAGCAAGUAGGCCAACAGUCGAAAUAAU